rnacentral:rRNA from 1 species
CGGUUAUGCAAGACAGGUGUGAAAUCCCCGGGCUCAACCUGGGAACUGCACUUGUGACUGCAUGACUAGAGUACGGCAGAGGGGGGUGGAAUUCCUGGUGUAGCAGUGAAAUGCGUAGAUAUCAGGAGGAACACCGAUGGCGAAGGCAGCCCCCUGGGCCUGUACUGACGCUCAUGCACGAAAGCGUGGGGAGCAAACAG